rnacentral:rRNA from 1 species
CACGUAGGGGGCAAGCGUUAUCCGGAAUUAUUGGGCGUAAAGAGCUCGUAGGCGGUUUGUCGCGUCUGCCGUGAAAGUCCGGGGCUCAACUCCGGAUCUGCGGUGGGUACGGGCAGACUAGAGUGCAGUAGGGGAGACUGGAAUUCCUGGUGUAGCGGUGAAAUGCGCAGAUAUCAGGAGGAACACCGAUGGCGAAGGCAGGUCUCUGGGCUGUAACUGACGCUGAGGAGCGAAAGCAUGGGGAGCGAACAGG